AAAUGAAUAGACGGGGGCCCGCACAAGCAGUGGAGUAUGUGGUUUAAUUCGAAGCAACGCGAAGAACCUUACCAGGGCUUGACAUCCCUUGACGACGGUAGAGAUACCGUUUCCCUUCGGGGCAAGGAGACAGGUGGUGCAUGGUUGUCGUCAGCUCGUGUCGUGAGAUGUUGGGUUAAGUCCCGCAACGAGCGCAACCCCUACUGCCAGUUGCCAGCAUUUAGUUGGGCACUCUGGCGGGACUGCCGUUGACAAAACGGAGGAAGGUGGGGAUGAUGUCAAAUCAUCAUGCCCCUUAUGUCCUGGGCUACACACGUACUACAAUGGCCGCAACAGAGGGCUGCGACGCCGCGAGGCGAAGCGAAUCCCAAAAAGCGGUCUCAGUUCGAAUUGCAGGCUGAAACCCGCCUGCAUGAAGUCGGAAUUGCUAGUAAUGGCAGGUCAGCAUACUGCCGUGAAUACGUUCCCGGGCCUUGUACACACCGCCCGU
rnacentral:rRNA from 1 species